UUUACAAUUGGUCCCAUAUUUUUGUGAUUCCAAAUAAAGAAGUUAUGAAUUUUUGAAAAUAAAAAGAAUUAAAGAAAAUAAAACAGAAAUUAAUAAAAAGAGAAAAAACCAUAAGCGUCUGAUCAGCGCUCAUUAAUUGACGUGGCUGAUCAAAAGGCUAGGAAGCGCGCGCUCACCAUGGAUUCGAGUCAAAUGCAUAACACAUAUAAUU
rnacentral:lncRNA from 1 species